UUUUUUUUUUUUUUUUUUUUUUUUGUUUUUACGCCUGGCCUAUUUCAGGGGAACGACUUUCCUUUCUUCAAGUUUUUGAAAUUAGGUUUUAAUGUAAUGAUAUUCCGAUGAAGAAAAUCUAAUAUAUUGAAUGUAUUUGGUUCGAUUUUUGAGUUUAUAGUGUUACUUUCUACCUUCUUCUUCCCGUUCUUUAUGAUCGGACUCCUUUUCUUUUAGUUUCCAGUUUGCACUGAUGUAUAGUUAUUGCUUGUGUUCAUCUUGUCCUUCAUUCAGUUAUCUGUUGUCUUGACGUUAAUACAUCACUUUGAUCAGUUGUAUUGUACGUCUGUUUUCUUAGCAAACACACUUUCGGUUGCAAUUGUCUUGUCUACUGCUGACCUUUAGCUAUUGCCAUUAUGUAAAUCCUUAUUCACAUGUUAAUUGUCUUAUCGGAUUAGUUAAAUCAAAAUUCUUUGCUAAUAAAGGAUCGGUUUGCUUUAUUCCUGUUCCCACUACCUUAAUAUUGGUAUCAUAUUGCUUUAAGAUGCGACAAUGAGGAGAUUUACUUUUCCAAGGAAAUUCAUAUAUCUCCGUCUUAGUGAAUGAGGAUUUAGUGGAGAGGGGACAAGUUGGCUGAGAAUGAUUGGUAAGAUAAUAUUCCAAUUUUAAUGUUGAACUAUGUUUUGGGACAAUUUUAAGCCUUUAAGAAUAAUGGUUUGUGGCAGAUGGUUGUUGUAUUUCAGAAGGGAAAGGGAGAAUGUGAUUGCCGUGCAGAAAUUCACAAACGCCUGUUGGAGAAAAGGGAAGCCUGGAAUUGGAGAGAAGUAAAAGAGAUUCAUUAACUUAGUGGUUAGCUUGUUUGAGCAGAUGACCUUCUGUGUAUUUUGAUUACUGAAAGAUAAAGAAAGUAUUAUAACAGGUGAAUCUACUAUGUUGAGAAUUUCAGUUGACAGUUCCUUUAGGAAGAGAGUGGGACGUAGAUAGAAGAAGAGAGAACCUUAGUUAUAUUCAAACUUGAAGACCCUCCAUAUCUCGAACUGGGCGGAAGCAAAUCCGACAAUCAGACAAAUGUUGCUGUGAACUAUUGGCAAACUCUAGGAAGCACGGAUACAGCAUGACAUUGACACGACAAGGGCACGUUUAUUAAAAUAUACACUCUAACAGUUAUAUAUCAUUUUUGUAUUAGAAGGGAAUUCAAAGUCAAUUAGUUUAUACAUCUAAAUGCUUAAAAAUUAGUUUGAUUUAUUUUACUUUAAGUGUUUGAUGCAUGUUUAACAAAGAUUGGAUCUACUUUGACUUUGUAUGACUAGUGUCUACUACAUCUAUUGCACUAACAAGUGUUUGGUACGUGUCUAACAAGUGUUGCAGUGUCAAGUGUUCGACACAUGUCAGACAUGGAUACGCUAGCCAUACUAAAGUGUUCGUGCUUCUUAGGAUAUACUCCUCAAAUACUGAAAUUAUUACUCAUUAUUCCCUUUAGUUUUUGUGUGAAAAAUUUUAGAUUUCAUCCUUAAAAUAGGAUUAUCUCGAUUGAACUUCUAUUCUUGAUCAACUUUGUUUAGCCUCACAUUUAUUUUAGAUUUGUUUUGUUCACUAAAAGGUAGAUAUAUUUGCUUGCUCGUGUAUUUCUUUUUGGGAUGGAAUAGUAGAGAUGUGUUGAGAGUUAUUUGAUAUGCAGAGCCCUGGGAUUGGAAAGGACCGGAUCUGGGAAGAAAACUUUAAAGCCAUAUUACACGGUAAAGACAGAGUUGGGAUGGCAGAGGUUAACAAAAUUCUCUCUCCCCAAUUCAAUGAUCCAAGUCUAAGAAAUAUGGAAAUGGAACGUCAAAAGGAUAUCAGGCAUGACAGCAGACGAGGGCAAAGUGGAUAGGCUCUUGCCAUUUUGUGCUGCAGAAGUGUACUUUUUGAGUUGAUGAAUGGAGUUCGAAGAUGCUCAGUGGUUUUGUUGGAGUGAAACUUGCAGCCUUUCCGGUGAGCCCCAUUUAACUAAUUCAUCUAUGAAAGACAUUUAAUGAAGUGUCUUUCUGAUACUUCCAUGUUUUGCUUUUCGUUCUUCUUGACAUCUUUAUUUCAAGUGCGUUAGUAGGUUGUUCUGACCUGAAAAUUAAGCAUACUUUGCUGAAUCUGGAAGAAUAGAUUAUCUUCCCUUUACUUUAUAGCAUCUGCUGAUCUGACCUGAAAUUUAUAGCCUUGAGUGCAUAAUCUAUCUGGAUUCUCUCUGGUUUCUUGUA